rnacentral:rRNA from 1 species
UACGGGGGGGGCAAGCGUUGUUCGGAAUUACUGGGCGUAAAGGGCUCGUAGGUGGCCAACUAAGUCGGACGUGAAAUCCCUCGGCUUAACCGGGGAACUGCGUCCGAUACUGGUUGGCUUGAGUUUGGGAGAGGGAUGCGGAAGUUCCAGGUGUAGCGGUGAAAUGCGUAGAUAUCUGGAGGAACACCGGUGGCGAAGGCGGCAUCCUGGACCAAUAUUGACGCUGAGGAGCGAAAGCCAGGGGAGCAAAGCGGG